GUGUGCUGAUAGUUGGGGGUGGGUUCCCC
rnacentral:sRNA from 1 species